UACGUAGGGUCCAAGCGUUGUCCGGAUUUAUUGGGCGUAAAGAGCUCGUAGGCGGCUUAGUAAGUCGGAUGUGAAAACUCGGGGCUCAACCCCGAGACGCCAUCCGAUACUGCUGUGGCUUGAGUCUGGUAGGGGAACACGGAAUUCCUGGUGUAGCGGUGAAAUGCGCAGAUAUCAGGAGGAACACCGGUGGCGAAGGCGGGUCUCUGGGCCGAUACUGACGCUGAGGAGCGAAAGCGUGGGGAGCGAACAGG
rnacentral:rRNA from 1 species